CAGGGUUUGACAUCCUGCGACCGCUCCCUAACAGGAGUUUUCCCGCAAGGGACGCAGAGACAGGUGCUGCAUGGCUGUCGUCAGCUCGUGUCGUGAGAUGUUGGGUUAAGUCCCGCAACGAGCGCAACCCUCGCCUUUAGUUGCCAUCAUUCAGUUGGGCACUCUAGAGGGACCGCCGGCGACAAGCCGGAGGAAGGUGGGGAUGACGUCAAGUCCUCAUGGCCCUUACACCCUGGGCUACACACGUGCUACAAUGGCGGUGACAGUGGGCAGCUACUUCGCGAGAAGCGGCUAAUCCCAAAAAACCGCCCCAGUUCAGAUUGUACUCUGCAACUCGAGUACAUGAGGUGGAAUCGCUAGUAAUCGCAGAACAGCAGGCUGCGGUGAAUACGUUCCC
rnacentral:rRNA from 1 species